rnacentral:rRNA from 1 species
UACGUAGGCAGCAAGCGUUGUUCGGAGUUACUGGGCGUAAAGGGUGUGUAGGCGGUCCUUUAAGUUUGGUGUGAAAUCUCCCGGCUUAACCGGGAGGGUGCGCCGAAAACUGAGGGGCUAGAGUGCGGGAGAGGAGAGUGGAAUUCCUGGUGUAGCGGUGAAAUGCGCAGAUAUCAGGAAGAACACCCGUGGCGAAGGCGGCUCUCUGGAACGCAACUGACGCUGAGACGCGAAAGCGUGGGGAGCAAACAGG